GCAUACUUAGCUCAAUGGUUAGAGUAUCACUCAUAAGUGCUGAGGUUGUGGGGUUGAGUCCCACAGUACACA
rnacentral:tRNA from 1 species